rnacentral:rRNA from 1 species
AUUGAACGCUGGCGGCAGGCUUAACACAUGCAAGUCGAACGGCAGCAGAGUUCGGGCUGCCUCAGAGUGGCGGCGGGGGGUGGAAUGCAUCGGAACAUACCCGGAGGUAGGGGUUAGUGCAGGGAAAGGUAGGGAAACUCAGGCUGUGACCGCAUGAGGACUACGGGGGAAUGAACAGGAAUUUCGGACCUCGCGCCUUUGGAGGGGCCGAUGUCGGAUUAGCUAGUUGGUGGGGUAAAGGCCGACCAAGGCGACGAUCCGUAGCUGGUCUGAGAGGAUGGUCAGCCACACUGGGACUGAGACACGGCCCAGACUCCUACGGGAGGCAGCAGUGGGGAAUAUUGGACAAUGGGCGCAAGCCUGAUCCAGCCAUGCCGCGUGGGGGAAGAGGGCCUUCGGGUUGUAAACCCCUUUUGUCGGGAAGGAAAAGUAGCAGGCUAAUACCGCGCUGCUAUGACGGUACCUAAAGAAUAAGCACCGGCUAACUUCGUG